rnacentral:rRNA from 1 species
GAGUUUGAUCAUGGCUCAGAAUCAACGCUGGCGGCGUGCCUAACACAUGCAAGUCGGACGCGAAAGCGGCUUCGGCCGCAAGUAGAGUGGCAAACGGGUGAGUAACACGUGGGUGACCUGCCUUCGAGUGGGGGAUAACGUCUCGAAAGGGACGCUAAUACCGCAUAACAUCCCGCCUUUGGACAGGCGGAGAUCAAAGCCGGGGACCGCAAGGCCUGGCGCUUGGAGAGGGGCCCGCGCCGGAUUAGCUAGUUGGUGAGGUAACGGCCCACCAAGGCGACGAUCCGUAGCCGGCCUGAGAGGGCGGACGGCCACACUGGGACUGAGACACGGCCCAGACUCCUACGGGAGGCAGCAGUGGGGAAUUGUUCGCAAUGGGCGCAAGCCUGACGACGCAACGCCGCGUGGAGGACGAAGAUCUUCGGAUCGUAAACUCCUGUCGAGCGGGAAGAAUGGCCCGGGACCUAACACGUCUCGGGAGUGACGGUACCGCUAAAGGAAGCCCCGGCUAACUCCGUGCCAGCAGCCGCGGUAAUACGGGGGGGGCCAGCGUUGUUCGGAAUUACUGGGCGUAAAGGGCGCGUAGGCGGCCUUCUAAGUCAGACGUGAAAUCCCUCGGCUCAACCGGGGAACUGCGUCUGAUACUGG